rnacentral:rRNA from 1 species
UACGGGGGGUGCGAGCGUUGUCCGGAAUCAUUGGGCGUAAAGAGCGUGUAGGCGGCCCGAUAAGUCCGCUGUGAAAGUCCAGGGCUCAACCCUGGAAUGCCGGUGGAUACUGUCGGGCUCGAAUCCGGAAGAGGUGAGUGGAAUUCCUGGUGUAGCGGUGAAAUGCGCAGAUAUCAGGAGGAACACCAAUGGCGAAGGCAGCUCACUGGGACGGUAUUGACGCUGAGACGCGAAAGCGUGGGGAGCAAACAGG